GAGCCCCCGAACCUARACGAGCUACUUUAAGACAGCUUCUUGAGCGAACCCAUCUCUGUUGCAAAAUAGUGGGACGAUCUUAAAGUAGAGGUGACAGACCUAACGAGUCUAGUGAUAGCUGGUUGCCUUAGAAAAGGAUCUUAGUCCUACUUAAAGUUAUCUUAAUCUGUAAAAAUACUUCUUUAAAGUUAUUCAAAUAAGGUACAGCCUAUUUGAAAAAGGAUACAACCUCCUCUACUGGGUUAUAUAAUAAUAUUAAUAAUAAAGUAGGCCUAAGAGCAGCCAUCUUAAAUGAAAGCGUCAAAGCUCAAUUAUUUAUUUAUUUAAUYUCUUAAUCAAUUCCGACCCCUUACCUACUAAAAGGCAAAUCUAUAUAUCUAUAGAAAAUUUUAUGUUAAAACUAGUAAUAAGAAGCAGACCCUUCUCUCCCAAUGCAAGUUUUCAUCAGCAAGGACACCCCACUGAUAAUCAUC
rnacentral:rRNA from 1 species